CACCAGGUUGAUUCUGCCUGACGUAGAUGCUAGCCUCCGAGGCUAAGCCAUGCAUGCCCGUGACGCAAGGAACGGCGAACGGCCCAGUAAUACUGCGAUGAUCUGCUCCGCGCGGACGAUAACUACGGGAAACUGUGGCUAAGAGCGCGGAUUGAGACGCAGCCCUAUCAGCAAGUUGGUAGUGUAACGGACUACCAAGGCGGCGACGGGUGACGGGAAAUCAGGGUUUGAUUCCGGAGAGGGAGCCUGAGAGAUGGCUCCCACGUCCAAGGACGGCAGCAGGCGCGAAACUUGCCCACUCUCUUGCGAGGAGGCAGUUACGAGGCGUGACGGAAGGGCGCACUGUAAAGACGUGCGCGAACGCGAUUGGAGGGCAAGUUCGGUGCCAGCAGCCGCGGUAAUACCGACUCCAAGAGUGUCUAUGGUGGAUGCUGCAGUUAAAAAGUCCGUAGUCGGCACUGCGACGAAAGCGCGCUGCUCGAUGGCGCAGGCGUUGCAGGGGCUUGCGGAGCGGGCGGGGGGCACGGUAUAGGCAGGCGAGAGAUGAAAUGGCCAAGACCCUGCCUGGACCGACGGUGGCGAAGGCGGUGCCCUCGCACGCAUCUGUGGAUCAAGGACGAAGGCAGGAGGAUCGAAAGUGAUUAGAGACCGCUGUAGUUCCGGCAGUAAACGAUGCCGACACCGCGCGGCGGGGCUGCGCGGGGGGGAAACCUUAGUGUUCGGGCUCUGGGGAUAGUAUGCUCGCAAGUGUGAAAAUUAAACGAAAUUGACGGAGCUACACCACAAGGAGUGGAUUGUGCGGCUUAAUUUGACUCAACGCGGGGCACCUUACCAGGGCCACGCGCGCCUGAGACCGCAUGCGCGAGGCGCGCAGGAGUGGUGCAUGGUCGUUGCAAAUUGGUGGGGCGACUUUUGGCUUAAAUGGCCGGAACGAGUGAGAUCUCCGAGACGGGUGCGCGCAGCACAGGAGGGUGGAGGCGAUAACAGAUCAGUGAUGCCCUUAGAUGCCCUGGGCUGCACGCGCAAUACAAUACCCGCGCGCUGCACAGAACGGUCGCGGGGGUGUGGGACCGGCGCCUGUAAGGGCGCCGCGAACGAGGAAUUCCUAGUAACGGCGGCUCAUCAAGGCAUUGUGAAUGUGUCCCUGUAGCUUGUACACACCGCCCGUCACUAUCUCAGAUGGCCGUGUCGGUGAAGGGAGCAAUCUCUGUGCCUCCGCGGCUAGAUAAGAUGUAAGUCGUAACAAGGUUGCGGUCGGUGAACCAGCAGCAGGAUCAUAA
rnacentral:rRNA from 1 species